GGAGGGGUGCUGGAGCGGAUGAUCAGGCCAGUCUCGAAAACUGGUAGGCCUUUUAUCGGGCCUCGUGAGUUCGAAUCUCACCCCCUCCG
rnacentral:tRNA from 1 species